GGGAACAUACCCUUUUCUACGGAAUAGCUCUGGGAAACUGGAAUUAAUACCGUAUACGCCCUACGGGGGAAAGAUUUAUCGGGGAAGGACUGGCCCGCGUUGGAUUAGCUAGUUGGUGGGGUAAAGGCCUACCAAGGCGACGAUCCAUAGCUGGUCUGAGAGGAUGAUCAGCCACAUUGGGACUGAGACACGGCCCAAACUCCUACGGGAGGCAGCAGUGGGGAAUAUUGGACAAUGGGCGCAAGCCUGAUCCAGCCAUGCCGCGUGAGUGAUGAAGGCCUUAGGGUUGUAAAGCUCUUUCACCGAUGAAGAUAAUGACGGUAGUCGGAGAAGAAGCCCCGACUAACUUCGUGCCAGCAGCCGCGGUAAUACGAAGGGGGCUAGCGUUGUUCGGAAUUACUGGGCGUAAAGCGCACGUAGGCGGAUAUUUAAGUCAGGGGUGAAAUCCCAGAGCUCAACUCUGGAACUGCCUUUGAUACUGGGUAUCUUGAGUAUGGAAGAGGUAAGUGGAAUUGCGAGU
rnacentral:rRNA from 1 species